UUGGCGCGUGCAGUCGCCCGCGCUCCUCCUGUCGGUGCCCGCGCUCGCCCGCUCGAGGAUUACGUUACCAGGCGCGCGCGCGCCACUACGGCUGUUCCGCCGAGGCACGAAACACAACUGAGCUUUUGUGGCUCCAUUACGAGGCGCAGGCCCAAACGAUGGUGAUGAAGGAGGAGCAGCAGCUGGUAUAAGGCAGGGCAGCGCGAUCGGACCUUAUCCAGGUCGUGCCAGGAGGGCAGGAGCUACCAGGAAGAAUGAGGUAAGCGCCGAAGCCCCCGGCCUCCUCCACGACGCCGUCCCAGGUUUAUUCAGGAACUGAAGGAGCAGACAGACCUUAAGGAAUAUUACUGUGGCCCCUGAGAGAGCCAGGAACGACCAGAAGAGUUUUGAUUACCGAGUCAGCGGCGAGGGCGAGCGACGCGAGCGGAACAAAGACUCAGCGAAGUCUGAUCUGAAGACAAACGGGGGCUCGAGACGAGCCACUCACCACAGACGAGGAGAGAGACGCAUGGAGUCCAACUAAAGGGAGACGACUGUUGACAGAGACGAUGUGGAAAUUAGCCUCAUCCGGUCCGGAGCUGCAGCCGCCCCGCUUGGCCUUCCCCCCGCGCCGGCUCCGUUUGAUCUCGUUCCACGGCUCAAUAACGCCAGGAACCCACCUGGGAGCUGUAGCUACGUCUUCAUACUUCAUCAACAGUCUCGGCCCGGUUGCGGGAAGUCGGAAGAUAGCGGAGCCGGCUCUGACCUUUGGAGCAGCGCGCUAAGGAGGGGUCUCCGAGGGGAAACAGCAACAAGCCACAGCAGCAUCGCGAAUGAGCUGACUCCAGCUCUUCAAACCAUCAUUCGCGAAUGAAAAUAGAAAAAGAUUUUACACAAUAAAUUAUAA